UACAUAAUUUUACCGUAUUAUAAUCAUGCAUUUUGCUACAUCUUGGAAGGGUUGGCUCAUACAAACUGUAUUGUAUGAAACAUAGGGCUACUAAAACCAUGUGUUGUUUAGAGGUCUGUGUAGGAGCCAUUUAUGUUUAUUGUUGGUAUGAUAUUUUAUUUUUGUUUAGAUUUAUUUAUAUUAGUAUUUUGGACACUGGGUGGCAGUGAUUAGAUGCACAUGGGUGUAUAUAGAGGGCAUAGGUGACAGGAAGUGGGAGGCACAGGUAGGGGGAGCACAAACAGUUCUCACCAGACCACAAACCUCAACUGCAAUAAUCUCUCUGGAAAAUCAUCUUGUGUGUCUGCGUAAAAAACUUCACUCCUGCCUGUGCACGAUGGCAAAGAGAUUGGUAAAAGUAAAGCGAGGAAAAAUUGCCAUAACAGUGUAGUUCCAUGUUGUCCCACCAGAGAGCGCAAUACACUCCAGCGUUACGAACAGACUGUAUGAGGAUUAGUAGAGAGUGCCACGUGUUGUCCUCUCAUCCCUUGCAGAUCUCUUCCCGAAACGUCCUGGAAACGUGUGUAAACGCAACAUAAUGGUGUGAAACUUUGAUUAUAUCCACGUACCUACACUGAUAAGCUCCUUCAUUAGUAGAGCAUCAGCUGUGAGCACGAGAGGAGCAGCCUGUGUCGGGUUGUUGUUGCCGUUUGAAACUCCGUUGCCAUUACAUGUGGUUAUUUUGACUACCACGAGAGAAAUAGACGAAUCCGAGAUGGCGAGCCCAGCCCAAAGAGACGGUGGAUGGUUGUGAAAACGGUGUGGCCAACCGAGGGACCAGCCACCGAGGACGUCGGACUAACUUCGUUCAGACAGGAUACAGAUAAGAACACAUUCAUGCUAUUAACUCUACCGGGGUGGUAGUAGUAGACUUUAUACACACACACACACACACACACACAAAAGGACCAGGAACUGAACUCUGAACUCAGUUUCAAACUCCUCAAUUUAUAGGAGCAUUGAGCUGAAGUGUCAGCUCACACAGACAUUUUCUUUUAUUACUGAAACAGCUGAAUUUUUUUGUUUUAUUUUCAUUCUUAGUACAUUACAGCGCUGUGUUUAUUGUUUUCCUGAGGCAAUAAAACUGUCGACUAUUCAACUCGA